rnacentral:lncRNA from 12 species
CUUCAUUUUGAAGCACCGGUUCUGUAUGGGUUCCUAACCCUAACACACUCACUCUCACACACACACACACACACACACACACACUCGUACUCACUCUCACUCACACACUCACAUUCACUUACACACACUCUCACACGCACACACUCUAACACCCACACACACACUCACUUGCACACACACUCACUCAUACUCUCACUCUCACACUCGCACACACACACACACACACUUGCACACGCACUCACACGCACUCACACACACACACUCACACACACACACUCUCACACACACACUCUCACACGCAAAAACUCACUCGCACUCACACUCACACUCACUCACACACACACACACACACACACUCUAACACACACUCACUCACACUCUCACUCUCACACUCGCACACACACACACACACACACUUACACACUUGCACACGCACACACACACUCACACGCACACACUCACACGCACUCACACACACACACACUCUCACACGCACAAACUCACUCGCACACACACUCACACUCACUCGCACACACACACACUCACUCACACACACACACUCUAACACUCACUCACUCACGCGCACACACACUCACGCGCACACAUACUCGCAAACACACUCAUUCUCACACUCACUCACACACACACACUCUAACACACACUCACUCACACACACACACUCUAACACACACUCACUCACUCACGCGCACACAUACUCACAAACACACUCACUCUCACACUCACUCACACACGCGCGCACACACACCCCCGCACCCACACUCGCAAACACACUCACUCACACACACUCACUCACGCGCGCACACACUCACGCGCACACCUACUCGCAAACACACUCACACUCACACACACACUCGCACUCACUCUCUCACACACACUCACGCUCGCACGCACACUCACUCACACACGCGCGCACACACACCCCCGCACCCACACUCGCAAACACACUCAUUCACACACUCACUCACACACACUCACUCUCGCGCACACACACUCUCACACUCACACACACACACUCGCAAACACACUCACUCUCACACACACAAACACACACACACACUCGCAAACACACUCACUCUCACACUCACUCACACACACUCACUCUCACACCCACUCACACUCACACUCACUCACACACACACACACAAACACACACACACACACUCACGCUCGCACGCACACUCACUCACACACACACACACUUUCACACACAAUAACAUUAAUUCAAGAGUUACUUUGUAUUUAAUAUUAUUUAAAUUGCUGUUAAAGUAG